rnacentral:rRNA from 1 species
AUUGAACGCUGGCGGCAUGCCUUACACAUGCAAGUCGAACGGUAACUGGUUAAGCUGACGAGUGGCGAACGGGUGAGUAAUGUAUCGGAACGUGCCCAGUCGUCGGGGAUAACUGCUCGAAAGAGCAGCUAAUACCGCAUAUGACGUGAGGGUGAAAGCGGGGGAUCGCAAGACCUCGCGCGAUUGGAGCGGACGAUAUCAGAUUAGGUAGUUGGUGAGGUAAAGGCCCACCAAGCCGACGAUCUGUAGCAGGUCUGAGAGGACGACCCGCCACACUGGGACUGAGACACGGCCCAGACUCCUACGGGAGGCAGCAGUGGGGAAUUUUGGACAAUGGGCGCAAGCCUGAUCCAGCCAUGCCGCGUGCGGGAAGAAGGCCUUCGGGUUGUAAACCACUUUUGUCAGGGAAGAAAAGGUUCUGGCUAAUACCGGGGACUCAUGACGGUACCUGAAGAAUAAGCACCGGCUAACUCCGUGCCAGCAGCCGCCGCCGUAA